rnacentral:rRNA from 1 species
GACGAACGCUGGCGGCGUGCCUAAUACAUGCAAGUCGAGCGGACAGAUGGGAGCUUGCUCCCUGAUGUUAGCGGCGGACGGGUGAGUAACACGUGGGUAACCUGCCUGUAAGACUGGGAUAACUCCGGGAAACCGGGGCUAAUACCGGAUGUUUGUUUGAACCGCAUGGUUCAGACAUAAAAGGUGGCUUCGGCUACCACUUACAGAUGGACCCGCGGCGCAUUAGCUAGUUGGUGAGGUAACGGCUCACCAAGGCGACGAUGCGUAGCCGACCUGAGAGGGUGAUCGGCCACACUGGGACUGAGACACGGCCCAGACUCCUACGGGAGGCAGCAGUAGGGAAUCUUCCGCAAUGGACGAAAGUCUGACGGAGCAACGCCGCGUGAGUGAUGAAGGUUUUCGGAUCGUAAAGCUCUGUUGUUAGGGAAGAACAAGUGCCGUUCAAAUAGGGCGGCACCUUGACGGUACCUAACCAGAAAGCCACGGCUAACUACGUGCCAGCAGCCGCGGUAAUACGUAGGUGGCAAGCGUUGUCCGGAAUUAUUGGGCGUAAAGGGCUCGCAGGCGGUUUCUUAAGUCUGAUGUGAAAGCCCCCGGCUCAACCGGGGAGGGUCAUUGGAAACUGGGGAACUUGAGUGCAGAAGAGGAGAGUGGAAUUCCACGUGUAGCGGUGAAAUGCGUAGAGAUGUGGAGGAACACCAGUGGCGAAGGCGACUCUCUGGUCUGUAACUGACGCUGAGGAGCGAAAGCGUGGGGAGCGAACAGGAUUAGAUACCCUGGUAGUCCACGCCGUAAACGAUGAGUGCUAAGUGUUAGGGGGUUUCCGCCCCUUAGUGCUGCAGCUAACGCAUUAAGCACUCCGCCUGGGGAGUACGGUCGCAAGACUGAAACUCAAAGGAAUUGACGGGGGCCCGCACAAGCGGUGGAGCAUGUGGUUUAAUUCGAAGCAACGCGAAGAACCUUACCAGGUCUUGACAUCCUCUGAUAAUCCUAGAGAUAGGACGUCCCCUUCGGGGGCAGAGUGACAGGUGGUGCAUGGUUGUCGUCAGCUCGUGUCGUGAGAUGUUGGGUUAAGUCCCGCAACGAGCGCAACCCUUGAUCUUAGUUGCCAGCAUUCAGUUGGGCACUCUAAGGUGACUGCCGGUGAC